GCUGACACAUCCCGGCCAAUCUCCAGCAGACCCUCCCUCCCAGACCCUCCCACCUCCUGGACAGCAUCCAUGUUGAAGCUGCCUUCAACAUGGAUGCUGUCCAGGAAGUAGGAGGGUCUGGGAGGGAGGGUCUGCUGGAGAUUGGCUGGGAUGUGUCAG
rnacentral:miRNA from 1 species